CAAAGUCAACCUUGGGAGAAUUUCAACUCGGAAUGUAAAACUGGAAGAAAUGCUGCUAAGCAUUUUUUCGGUUGUGCUCACAAUUCUGCCAGCUUAAUAAUAAUAAUAAUAAUAAUAAUAAUAAUAAUGGGAUGGUCAGAGUUUGAAUGCUCUUGAUCAAAGGUCUGGCUCAGAGCUAAACAACAAUCCAGUCCUAUAAAAGAGCUUCUACUCUAGUCUUUCAACCUACUGUACUCACCCUACUGUUUUAAAAGAUUGUAUAAUUUAAUCCUAGGUAUAAUCCUGUCUGUAUACUCUCUCAAGAAAAAGAAAAGACUGGUUAAUCAGGUUCCUUCUCACAUUUACUAUUUUAUGGUCUUUGGUCUUCCAUACUUAUCGUUAGGCAAGGUCAACAAGGAAACGGUGAUUCCAUUGCACUAACUGUGCUGCACCAACACAGAUUCUGUAAUAUUUUCUUAAUUCCUGAGUAAUAGACAUAGUAUUUUAGGAUUUAAGUUCUGAUAUUUUGGCAGUAAGCUCUCUUCAAGUGUUUGCAGUACAUGAUAACACACUGUGAGUUAUGCCAAGUUAUAAUCCCGUUAUCACGUACCAUAACACUUCUCAAGUGUUCCAUUUUGUGCCAACAGACUGUGUGUUCGGUUAAUUCUUUUGGUAAUAUAAUCUUUACUUGUUGAGCUCUGGUUUUUCUUCUGGCAAAGGACUUCCUUCAAGUGUUCUGCGACAUAACAAAUUGGCUGGAAAUGGUAGCAAAUGAAGAUUAGAUAACUCUUUUAUUUAAUAAUAAAAAAGUCGUUGAUUUUUUUUUUUUCUUUUUAUCAUUAAUAGCAAAAAUGUCUUUCUUAGGUGUAGACUGAUUUCAAGUGGAGUGAAGAGGUUAAUAAAAAAAAAAAUGUACAUUUGAAGAAAACAAAACCAACUUUCACAAUGUCUCAUGGUAAACUCUCCAUUGUCCCCUGCAGGGGCAAAAUCAGAGCUCAGAAGUUCCAAUUUCUCUUCACAAAAAAAUUCAUAUUAUAUACCUAACCUCUAACAAUACACUAGAAUAUUCUUUAAGCAAUUGUGGGUGACGAAUAAAUAUCACACACACACAUAAUAUGUGCACAACAAGCCCACAUUUGUGGUGAUUGUGACAUUCCGUUCAGUUUAUUAGCAAAACAUGACUGAAUUUGGAGAAUUGUACAAAACACAGCAAAAUGGUUCAUUCAACCAUAAGGAAUGCGUGAAGAUCAUUUUUGUUGAUAAGAAG